UACGGAGGGUGCAAACGUUGCUCGGAAUCACUGGGCGUAAAGGGUGCGUAGGCGGGGCUUUAAGUCAGGGGUGAAAUCCUGGAGCUCAACUCCAGAACUGCCUUUGAUACUGAGGAUCUUGAGUACGGGAGAGGUGAGUGGAACUGCGAGUGUAGAGGUGAAAUUCGUAGAUAUUCGCAAGAACACCAGUGGCGAAGGCGGCUCACUGGCCCGUAACUGACGCUGAGGCACGAAAGCGUGGGGAGCAAACAGG
rnacentral:rRNA from 1 species